AUAUAAGGUUCUGUCGACGCCGUGAGGCGAAGACAAAGAUUUACAUUCAGAGACAUACAAAGGGGUGUAUAAGACAUAGGGACCUUUUUUUAACGGGCCCCUACAUUGGGUUCACAGGUGUAUGUGGAUUAAGGGCUCGGGCGUGCACAUUGCCCCGAGAGGCCAGCUACAACCCUCACCGGUAAUUUCAAUAAUGAUCCUUCCGCAGGUUCACCUACGGAAA
rnacentral:misc_RNA from 1 species